UGCAGUCGAGGGGUAGAAAUAGCUUGCUAUUUUGAGACCGGCGCACGGGUGCGUAACGCGUAUGCAAUCUGCCUUGUACAGGGGGAUAGCCCAGAGAAAUUUGGAUUAAUAUCCCAUGGUAUUAAGAAUUGGCAUCAAUUUUUAAUUAAAGCUUCGGUGGUACAAGAUGAGCAUGCGUCCUAUUAGCUAGAUGGUGUGGUAACGGCGCACCAUGGCAACGAUAGGUAGGGGUCCUGAGAGGGAGAUCCCCCACACUGGUACUGAGACACGGACCAGACUCCUACGGGAGGCAGCAGUGAGGAAUAUUGGACAAUGGGCGCAAGCCUGAUCCAGCCAUGCCGCGUGCAGGAAGACUGCCCUAUGGGUUGUAAACUGCUUUUAUAUGAGAAGAAUAAGCUUUACGUGUAGAGUGAUGACGGUAUCAUAUGAAUAAGGAUCGGCUAACUCCGUGCCAGCAGCCGCGGUAAUACGGAGGAUCCAAGCGUUAUCCGGAAUCAUUGGGUUUAAAGGGUCCGUAGGCGGGCUAUUAAGUCAGGGGUGAAAGUUUGCCGCUCAACGGUAAAAUUGCCUUUGAUACUGAUAGUCUUGAAUUAUUAGGAAGUGGUUAGAAUAUGUAGUGUAGCGGUGAAAUGCAUAGAUAUUACAUAGAAUACCGAUUGCGAAGGCAGAUCACUACUAAUAUAUUGACGCUGAUGGACGAAAGCGUGGGGAGCGAACAGGAUUAG
rnacentral:rRNA from 1 species